rnacentral:tRNA from 1 species
GGUGGAGUAGCUCAGUUGUUUAGAGCGCGUGGCUGUUAACCACAAGCUCGGAGGUUCGAGCCCUCCUUCUAGCG